rnacentral:tRNA from 1 species
CAUUGAAUGGCUGAAGUUAAAGCAAUGGUCUCUUAAACCAAUAUAUAGUAUUUUACUUUCAAUGA